UACGAAGGGGGCUAGCGUUGCUCGGAAUUACUGGGCGUAAAGGGCGCGUAGGCGGCACGGCAAGUCAGGAGUGAAAGGCCUGGGCUCAACCGAGGAACUGCUUUUGAGACUGCCGAGCUAGAGUGCAGAAGGGGCAACUGGAAUUCCCAGUGUAGAGGUGAAAUUCGUAGAUAUUGGGAAGAACACCGGUGGCGAAGGCGGCUCACUGGUCCGAUACUGACGCUGAGGUGCGAAAGCGUGGGGAGCGAACAGG
rnacentral:rRNA from 1 species